rnacentral:misc_RNA from 1 species
CCACCACCACGACCACCGCUAUCACAAUCAUCACCAUCACCACCCCCACCACCCCCACCCUCAUCGUGGAGAUUGUGAGGAGCUGAGUGCGUCUCAGAAGGCUUUUAUUAGGUUUGCAAAAGCUGUGGGGUGGGUGGACCUGGCCAACUUAUUGAGGGAGCACUUGCAGCUCUGCUGCUGCUCCGCGGCCUUGUUUGUGGCAGCCGCUGCUUGUCCUUAUGUGAUGCCC